GUUCUUCCUGGACACUAUUCCCGAUCCAAAUCGACAUCGAUUUCGAUCGAUCCGUUGCCCCUCGCCCCGUCUUGACUUCAUCUAAAUAUUCCCCACCUCCGACUCUACCGAUUUUCACAAAACGGAGCUCUCCCGUGACCUAGAGAGUCGUCGCCAUCUCGCCGGAGUCCGCCGCCUGAAGCUUCUGUCGCCGGUCGAGUUCGUCGUUGUCGGAAGUAUCCGACCGAGCGCUUCGACCCGGCCCCCAUCGAACACCGCCGCCACGACUCCAGCCACCUUCUGCCCGCUCGCCACCGACGCCGUUGUGGACGUUUUCGAGACCACAGCAGAGCGCCUCGUCUUGUACACCACCACGAAGUUCGGAGACCACCUGAGCAGGCGCCACCAUCGCCGCACGAGCCGCCGACGCCGUUCUUCCCCGACUCCGACGAACUCCCAGCCUCUGCUGUUCCGAUUGUUCGGAGUGCGAAGCGGAUCAAAAUUAAUCGCUAGAGUACUUCAACAGAGUUCAAGGCAAGUUUGCACUUUUGAUUUUGCUCGUCCUAUAUUCUACUAUGCAUGUGUGGUUUUAUGCUAUGAUAAAUGUUUGGCCUGAUAUGUGUAUCCCGUGUUGUCAUGUUUGGUACUCAUUGUGUUAUGUGAUGGUGUGAUCAUCUUGCUAUGGUAGACGUGAGCAUGUGUCGAGUGAUCCAUGAAAGUGGUGAGUGUUCAUAGUCGUAGGCUCAGGAUUAUUAACCAGGUGAAUGCGUCACUGGCAGUGCGCUCUAUUGUCCCUAGAGAAUGCGUCAUUGACAGAGCGCACUUGAGGCGAGGUAUAGUUUUCAGAACAUAAAUCAGGUGGAUGCGUCCUUGGCAGAGCGUUCUAUUAUUCCUAGAGAAUGCGCCAUUGACAGAGCGCACUUGAGAGAUACUUAUGAAGUUCUUGUCAUGUUUAUUUAGAAUCUUUGGGUUAUCUUGGGCGAGUAAAUUAGAGACGGUUAUGAGUUCAGGUAU